GGUAGUUUUACUCUUAUAAAUAAGUCCUUCUUUAACAGAAGACUAAUCAAACACAAAGACAUAAUAUGGAUGAAUUCGUUUAAAAAAGAAAGUUGAAACGGUUAAUAGUAUGAUUAGGCUAUUCAUCACUGUACCAGAGAAUAACAGGCUGAUUGAGCUAUGGUUGAAACUUGCUGCUGGGUCUAUCUUGCUAGUUUAUGGCUGAUGAUCACAAUGUCAAGUAUCAGGUGACAGUCAACUUCAAAUCAGGUGGAAAUAUUUAAGAAGUCCAAUCGCCGUAAUGAUGAUGAGUUUGAUCAUGAGGUUCUCUACCUGGGGAUGAACAACAUGCCCUUGAGAGAGAGAGAGAGAGAGAGGCCAGUAACCAUUGCAGAGCGGAUGAUCAAGCUGGUGAAGAAAAUUCACCACAAGCCCAAUAGCGCUCUAAUUAACAUGUGCAUCAUUCUGCCAAGGAGUGAGAACAGUUUCAAGAUUGCCGGAAGAGAUGAAGAAAGAAUAGACUUCUGGAAUGGCAAAGCAACCACAACGAAAGUCAUGUAUCGACAAUAAUUGCACCAAAAUGUGUCACAGAGGCCACAAAGACAGUUCAUCGUGUGUGUUGUUUCUUAUGCAAACCCAUAGUUUGACACUGUACACAUCGUUUUACUAUUAUCAUAGUAUAUCCCACUUCCAUUGUAUAAUAAUUAUUUUGAACAUCACAAAGCAUGUGUUCUGUCAUGUUUAUGUAAAUUACCAAUUAACUGUUACUUUCGCAAUUCUUCAUAUGUUUUGAAAAAAUAAAAGGUAUUAUGCACUUCAUUGGAUAAUUAUUUUAUACUAGCUGGCCCGGCGAACUUCGUACCG